GAAGGUGUAGCUCAGGGGUAGAGUGUGUGCUUAGCAUGCAUGAGGUCCUGGGUUCAAUUCCCAGUGCUGCCA
rnacentral:tRNA from 1 species